AGAAGAAGCACAGAACAUCCUAUUAAAUUGUCAUAAUGAAUGUAUUUUACACAUGAUACAUCAGGAAAGAAUAUUUCCAAAAACCUAUGAACAUCUUUUUCUCUUGAAAACAAGGAAGAAAAUUCCGAAAAUGAAUUCCAUCAUUUGUUAAACUGUUCCUCAUAAGAAAUAUUACGAAUACUUUAACUAAAGCAACUGUCAUUCUUAUACACACAAAGGGAGGUUCAACUGGGUAAUUUUUCCCAAGUGAAUGCCGUCUCUUUGCUCAGAUUUUUCCGUAUGAUAGACUCAAGUCAAAUUAGCCAAAGAAAAAUUAUCUUUGUUUGUGCUCCGACGUAAAAUUUUCCCGCUUGAAUGUCGUUUCAAUCGGGCCUUUUCGUCAAAGAGGGAAAAGGGAAAGAUUUUAAAAAAAUUAUAUCAGUAUGGUACUUUAUUGUAUCAAUCGCUUCUUUUCUUUCCAACAUACUCUGAAAACAUAUCCUGUUUUGUUUUGUUUUGUCACGUUUUUUGUCAAUCGCAACUUCUCGGGCCUUUCCGGCAGGCUCGGAAAAAAAUCUCGAAUGUAUAACCUAGGCGUCCAUGACAACCCCCCUUUUUAUAAAACUUGAUAUAUAUUCAACACAUUUUACGAUCUGUUGAGAUGUAAGCUAUACUUCAUUAAAGUAAACGAUAUACACUAAAAUAUAACACAAAAGCGACAUACAAGGCUGUCUAGCCUAUACUUAAUUUAAUGGGAAGCGACUCCAUUUUGUAUAAAAUUCUUACAUCCGGUGAUGUUAAUACAUUCGAGGUGUUUUUCCGAGCCUGCCGGAAAGGCCCGAGAAGUUGCGAUUGGUUUUUGUGGGUUUUUUUGUAUCCUUUUUUAUGACUUUGCCGGAAUUAUCCAGGAAGGUGGUAUAACUGGCCUGCAAUGUGUAAGGGGGUGACGUCACAACCAGGUGCGAUUUUAAUUCCUGGAUCGUUUUCCAUGGAAAGUGAAUGUCCCGGCGCCUAAAAAGCAUAUGAAAGCUCAGCUAUGAGUUAGAUCACAUUCGUUGGUUCUUGGCCCCCAAAGUGCCCCGGUGCUACUCACUUGGCUGUUUCAAUGACGGUCUCCGUGCGGAUGGCUCCAUCCAGAUGGACAUGCAGCUCAAUCUACCAUUGAGAUUAUAGAAGAGGACUGAUCAGAACAACACUCUAAUUUUACAAGAUGAUCGGUUAAAUAAAUAUGAUAUAACGUUUUUAAGUAGCCAUGUGUUUCUGCGGAUCAUGAGCAUGCAAUAAAAAUAAAUCAAAAAAAAAAUCAUAUACCAACUCAUGUUGUAAGC